rnacentral:tRNA from 1 species
GCUUCAAUAGCUCAGUUGGUAGAGCAGUUCUCUUGUAAAGAGCAGGUCGUCGGUCCGAGUCCGUCUUGAAGCU